AUUGAACGCUGGCGGCAUGCUUUACACAUGCAAGUCGAACGGCAGCGCGGGUUUCGGCCUGGCGGCGAGUGGCGAACGGGUGAGUAAUGCAUCGGAACGUGCCCAGUAGUGGGGGAUAGCCCGGCGAAAGCCGGAUUAAUACCGCAUACGACCUGAGGGUGAAAGCGGGGGACCGAAAGGCCUCGCGCUAUUGGAGCGGCCGAUGUCGGAUUAGCUAGUUGGUGGGGUAAAGGCUUACCAAGGCGACGAUCCGUAGCUGGUCUGAGAGGACGACCAGCCACACUGGGACUGAGACACGGCCCAGACUCCUACGGGAGGCAGCAGUGGGGAAUUUUGGACAAUGGGGGCAACCCUGAUCCAGCCAUGCCGCGUGCGGGAAGAAGGCCUUCGGGUUGUAAACCGCUUUUGUUCGGGAAGAAAUCCUCUGGGCUAAUACCCCGGGGGGAUGACGGUACCGGAAGAAUAAGCACCAGCUAACUACGUG
rnacentral:rRNA from 1 species